rnacentral:rRNA from 1 species
CGCCUCUUGACUCAUAAUAAGAGGUCCAGCCUGCCCAGUGAAUUUUAAACGGCCGCGGUAUCCUAACCGCGCGAAGGUAGCAUAAUCACUUGUUCUUUAAAUGGGGACUCGUAUCAACGGCAUCACGAGGGUUUUACUGUCUCCUCUUUUUGAUCAGUGAAAUUGAUCUUCCCGUGAAGAAGCGGGAAUAUUUUUAUAAGACGAGAAGACCCCAUGGAGCUUUAAACCAAAUAGCAACUUAACUACUUAUCCCACAAUAAAUUUAAGCCCUGUUAUAAGGUUUUUGGUUGGGGUGACCGCGGAGUAAAACACAUCCUCCACGACGGAAAGAACAUAAUCUUUAUUUAAGAACCACACUUCUAGAAAUUAGUAUACUAACGUUUACUGACCCGACAAUCGAUCAACGGACCAAGUUACCCUGGGGAUAACAGCGCAAUCUACUUCAAGAGCUCAUAUCGACAAGUAGGCUUACGACCUCGAUGUUGGAUCAGGGUAUCCCGGUGGUGCAGCCGCUACCGAAGGUUCGUUUGUUCAACGAUUAAAACCCUACG